ACUCAAAUUACCAUCUGCUGUAAGCAAAAAAGAAGAAGUUGAAGAUAGAGAGAAGAAUGAUAGUAGAAGAAGCAAAUCAAAUGGGCAAUCGGUGCAGCGUAGUUUGCUAAGGACACCAUCAUUGCCACCGUGUUUAGGGACGCCAGACCUCAGCUCUGUUUGCCCAAAAGAAUGAAAUUCAUGAUUGAGAGAAAGAGAGAAGAAAGAAGCACAAGAAUAAAGCAGAGAAAAGGAAGAGGGGGACGGGAAGCAAUCAAAAUCGGUCUGGAUAGGCAAAGAAUUCUUUCUGCAUUCCUUGCCUUGGUCAGAUUGAGGGAAAGCAUGUUGGCAUAGGUCGGCUUUGGGUUUAGUCUGUCCAAGAGGGAUUCAAGGGAGGUUUCAUUGAAAUCAAACUUCUUCUGUUUCUUUCUAGAUAAAGGGGUUUAUGAUUGUUAGAUUGGGUUUGUCAUGAACAAGGAGAAGGAAGGUGAUUUUUGGAAUUGCAUUGAGGAAAGCACGAGAGCUGCAGGUAAGAUACUGUUUCCUACAUUAUGUUUCCCCUGUUUUGGUUUCUGAAAUUGCUCUAAUUUCCAUAUGAGUCGGACCUCACUUAAAGUAUUCAAGAGAUAGUGCAAGGUGAAGCGGCAAAUGAUUAGAAUGUUUUCAUUUUGCAUGGCACACAGUAAGUGUUUGAGAUUAGAGAGUGAAAAGUUCGAAAUUUGGGUAAUGUAUAAGACCUGGAUAAGUGAAUGGCUGGCUUUUGUGUUCUAGGCUCAUGCUUCUCGGGGGCUCUUAACUUUUGAUCAUAGUUACUGAUUUGGCAAAGCCUAUCUGAGGCAGGAAG